CCAUAAAACGCAAGAAAGAGACAACACUCAGGUGUAAAGGACCCACAAACUUAACCUUUCCUUUUUGUAUUUUCUCGAGAAAUUUCUCUCUCCUUACCCCUUGUCUCUCUCCCUCUCUACACGCUCCCCUCUCUCACCGGCUUUAAUUUGAAAAUUCUCUCUUCAUUUCCAUCUCUGUAUAUUUAGGCGCAUUCCGUGCAUUUAUUGCCUUUUAUCUUUCAAUAGAGGGUUUCCCCUCCCUUAUCUCUGUAUCUCUUUUAAAGGGCUACUCGGAUCUUGAAUGGUCUCUUUAGUGGGGUUUCGAUUGCAACCAAACUGUGCCAAGGUAACAUCUUUUUUGUAAGUUAAUCUAGUUUUUGAGCAUGUUUUUCGAUUUCCUAUCUGGGUUUUGAUUUUUUGUUGAUUGAUUUGGUUUUUUUAGUAUUUCGAGUCACAAAGUCUGCUUCUUUUUUGAUGUCAAAUCUCUUUUUGGAAUAUUCUAGAUCUGUUUUUUUCCUUUAGAUUUGCAUGUGUGCGUGCUUUUUUUUCGUUUUUUUUGGCAUUUGAUGAUUCUUCCUUUUGUUUUAUUUGAUCUACUUAGUGGUUAUGAUGUGUCUUGAGGAAAUGUAUACUGUAUAUCUCUCAUGUCAAGUACAGUUUUUGCUUGAGUGGAUAUUGUUAUUCAGUCUCCUUUUAUAGUUCUCUACUUGGCAAGUUUUUACUGGAAAUGAUCUUGCAGUGGUGAUUUUUUUUUGUCCGGUG
rnacentral:lncRNA from 1 species